UACGUAGGGGGCAAGCGUUGUCCGGAUUUAUUGGGCGUAAAGCGCACGCAGGCGGUCUCUUAAGUUUUGAGUGACAGGUGGUGGCUCAAACUGCCACAGGCCUCAGAAGACUGGGAGACUUGAGGACGAGAGAGGGAUGCGGAAUUCCAGGUGGAGCGGUGAAAAUGCGUAGAUAUCGGAGGAAUACCGGUGGCGAAGGCGGCAUCCUGGACCGGCAUUGACGCUGAUGAGCGAAACUAAGGGGAGCAAACGGGG
rnacentral:rRNA from 1 species